UACCUGGUUGAUCCUGCCAGUAGUCAUAUGCUUGUCUCAAAGAUUAAGCCAUGCAAGUCUAAGUACGAGCUCUCGUACAGUGAAACUGCGAAUGGCUCAUUAAAUCAGUUAUGGUUCAUUUGAUCGUACAGUUUACUUGGAUAACUGUGGUAAUUCUAGAGCUAAUACAUGCGAGAAGCGCCGACCUCGCGGGAGGCGUGCAUUUAUCAGACCAAAAACCGGCCGCGUCUUCGGGCGCGUUCGCCUUGGUGACUCUGGAUAACUUUGCGGAUCGCACGGUCUAGCACCGGCGACGGAUCAUUCAAGUGUCUGCCCUAUCAACUUUCGUCGGUACGGUAUUGGCCUACCGAGGUUCUUACGGGUGACGGGGGAAU
rnacentral:ncRNA from 1 species